rnacentral:rRNA from 1 species
GGAAAAUAUAGUAAAAGUUAUUUUUAAUUUAGUAUUUUUUAAAGAAAAAAAUAAUAUAAAGAAGUACCGUGAGGGAAAAAUAAAGUAAAAUAAUAGUAUAGUUAUAGUCUAGUACCUUUUGCAUUAUGGUUUGACUAGAUUAAUAUAAAUGUGUUUAUUUUCUAGAAAAUAAACGAGCUAUAUUGAAGCUAGGGUUUAUUGUAGUAAAAAUAAAUUUAGAUUUUUUUAUAGUGGUGACAUGCUUGUCGAGUUUAUUGAUAGCUAGUUAAAAGAGAAAUGUAUUUAAGUACAGGAAAAUGGUUAAAUUUUAUGAUUUAAAAUAAUUUGAAAUUAUCUUUUAUCUCAUGUCUUGGAGGAUAAGCUCUGAGGUAUCGCAGUAGUGGUAGUAUUUAUAAUAAUAAAACAUGUAGGUUUAAGAGUAACAAACAGAUAAAAUGUUUCGUAACAUUUGGUUAAUUUAAUUUGCUCUGGAAGAUUAUUUUUUUUAAAGUUGAAAUAGUUAAUAAAUUUUGUGUUUAUGUUAAAAUGAGUAUUAUUUUAAUUAAUUUGUUUUUGUUUAUUAAUAAAGAAACAAUUAAAAUAUAAGUUUAUAUAAAUAAAAAAAAGGAAUUCGGCAAAUAUAGGUUUCGCCUGUUUAACAAAAACAUCGCUUUUUGUAAGAAAAAAAUAAAAAGUCGUACCUGCCCAGUGAAUAUUAAAUGGCCGCAGUACUUUGACUGUGCAAAGGUAGCAUAAUAAAUUGUCUUAUAAUUGAAGACUAGAAUGAAUGGUUUGACGGAGCUUUACUGUCUCUUUUUUAUUACUUAGAAAUUAAUUUUAAGGUGCAGAAGCCUUAAUGAAAUUAAAAGACGAAAAGACCCUAUUGAGCUUAAAGAAAGAAGAAAAAGUUUUAUAGUAAUCGAUUUUUAUUUUUUUAUAUUUUUUGUUGGGGCGACAGAAGAACAUAAAAAGCUUCUUUUUAUUGGAUAAAUGUUUUUAUUAUUUUGAUCCAUGCAUUAUGAUUAAAAGAAUAAGUUACCAUAGGGAUAACAGCGUAAUCUUUUUGGAGAGUUCUAAUUGAAAAAAAGGUUUGCGACCUCGAUGUUGGAUUAAAGUUACUAAAGGGUGUAGAAGCCCUUGAAAGUCAGUCUGUUCGACUGUUAAACCUUUACAUGAUCUGAGUUCAAACCGGCGUGAGUUAGGUUGGUUUCUAUCUUUAAUUUAAAAGUAAAUAAUCAGUACGAAAGGACCUUUAUUUAUAAAUAAUUUGUGUUGAUAGAAUUAAUUUAAAAUUAGAU